CCUGCUCAUACACAAUCUCUCUCUCUCUAAAAAUAAAUAAACAUUAAAAAAAGAAAAGAAAAGAAAAGUCUCGGGAGUAACUCUGGGAUCAAGGUCUCUCAAGAGUCUCUGCUCCACAGUGCUAAGGAGUGAGUGCCUCACAUAUUCUCUUCUCUCCUUUCCAUUUAGAGAAUUUUUCUCUUUCCAUGAACUUAGAAGGGCCCUCAAGUGGACUUGUUGGAUAAGCUUGAAGGAUGUACUGCCACUGAAUCCUUUAAGAGAGAGAAAAACCUCUUCCUAUUCCACGUAGAAACUUUAGGGCUUCUACGCGAAAGAGGUGGUAUUGGUGGGAGGAAAUAAAGACACAAUUCCCCAUCCUUUCCGUAUCUUAAGAUGUGUCGUAAGUUAAAUAUAGGCUCUGCCCUGUGGAUGUUUACAGCCUCAAAGAGCCCAUUCUGCCUGGAGGCUUGCAGCUUCUGAGCAAAAAGGCACUGGAAUGUCUUCAGCUUGUUUCAUGUGGUCUGAUUGUUUUCAAAACACUGCCAGUAGAUCAGCGAGCAGAGCAAGUGUCAAUACAUGACUCCUUGGGAGACGAGGCCCAUCUAAUGAUGCAUUUACUUGGACUGGCCGUCUCUGCUUCUUGCAUUUUGUCAUUACUUAUUUCCAGCUAAGGUACGAAAGCCUUUAUUUUCCUUAGAAGUCACUCUUUCCUGACUGUGAAAGAAAGCAGUGGUUUGCCGGUCGGUGUCCUUUUAGGGAAAGAGCUAGAUGAGCACGUGGCCCAGCUCAGCUGGCUGGGUAGACAUCAGACACAUUCUGUGGGAACUUGAACUUGAUUACCAGGAAGCAGGUGGUUUGGAUUACGUACUGUGUCUAUUUUAGGGCUGGAUAUUACCUUCAAUGGAAAACCAACCCCAAUCAGAAAAGGCCAACACCAUGCUCUGCAAUACUGAGUUUACUGAACUGUUAAAAUGCAAAACUAAUACCCUCAGAAUUCAAGCUACAGCCUUCAUUAGGAUUUCCUACAUAGGGUUUCAUAGACUCGGUUGGAGUCAAUCAGGUGCACAUCAAUUGUUUGGCUUGCUAUUCAUGCUACUUAUUUAGUCACUGACAGUCACUCUUGUGUGUCUUUCUUACUCUUCUGAGCGUAUUGGAAUCUAUCUCCCAAAGAAUUUGAGGGUUACUGGAGAAAUAAAAUACAUGAAAAUCACACAGCAUCUGGUAGCUGCCACACCAGUCUUGAGAAAGCUGAUCUCUAGAAUCUGGAGAGCUAUGUUGCCAAUGAUAUCUUUACUUACCACAAGCAAACUGCACUAUGAUACAGCAAAAUGUUACAACACCAGUUCUUCCUCCUGCAGAGGUACAGCCAGCUCGCUAAGCCCAGUGCCUCAGGGCUGAGCCAGCCCACAGCGGGAAGUUUUCAGCUCACACCAAGGAGCUUCCAGCAGACUCUCCAACAGACAGCCUCAGUGGAGCAGAAAUGGCAGCAUAGCACGUUGAGAACAAGGAAGUUCAGGCCCGCCACCCUUGUUUUCUAGGCACACCAGUUUUCUUCUCUGUCCAAGUCAUUGUUUAGGACGGAUGGUGCUGAAUACAACUGUAGGUUUGUAGCUGCCAAAGGAAAUACCUGCUGGAAUCAAAUGAGGACAGAGUCUCCUCUCAGGUCUGAACACAAGGCCCAGCCAGGAACAGGCUGGUUUCACUUCACUGCGCUUGGUUUGUAAUAAUGGACUUUUUGGUAAGAUUCUUUGAUUAAUGUUGGUCUCAUCCAGUAAUGUGUAAGAAUCAUGGGGCACAGACUGUAUCCAUCUGGUUCAUGCAUUAGAUCCAGUGCUGGCAGAGUACCUGGCACAUGGCAACAGACCCAACUGGUGGUUCCCAAACUGUGUGCUGAGGCACCCUGCCCUCGGAGCUGCAAGAAAUCCACAAGGCACCACAAUAUCUUACCUGUCUGAGGGAAACACAGUGAUCCUCAACAUCUGUGGGACCCAGAGCAGACUGCCAGCUGGAGGUAGUGCACAGUUUCAAUGUCAUAUCAUCUGCAUUCCUUUCGAUGACAUCAAUGACAUCAUUUUUGAACCUUGGUUUUUGGCUGUUGCUGUGACAAAAUGCGAGAGUUGCACAAAAUCAAUGUGAAACAGCAAACGGGGGUGGUGGGUCCGAGCUCAUGCCAAGGUUUGGGAAAGCAGACAGUGCCCAACAAGAGCACAGCCCGCUAGUAAUUGUGGUGAUUUAAAAGUGAAAUUAAAAAUAGUAUUGUUUUUGUUCCAA